rnacentral:rRNA from 1 species
GACGAACGCUGGCGGCGUGCUUAACACAUGCAAGUCGAACGGUAAGGCCCUUCGGGGUACACGAGUGGCGAACGGGUGAGUAACACGUGGGUGAUCUGCCCUGCACUUCGGGAUAAGCCUGGGAAACUGGGUCUAAUACCGGAUAGGACCACUGCCUGCAUGGGUGGUGGUGGAAAGCUUUUGCGGUGUGGGAUGGGCCCGCGGCCUAUGAGGUUGUUGGGGGGGUGAUGGCCUACCAAGGCGACGACGGGUAGCCGGCCUGAGAGGGUGACCGGCCACACUGGGACUGAGAUACGGCCCAGACUCCUACGGGAGGCAGCAGUGGGGAAUAUUGCACAAUGGGCGCAAGCCUGAUGCAGCGACGCCGCGUGAGGGAUGACGGCCUUCGGGUUGUAAACCUCUUUCAGCACCGACGAAGCGCAAGUGACGGUAGGUGCAGAAGAAGGACCGGCCAACUACGUGCCAGCAGCCGCCGUAA